CAGAUGCGGACAGGCUAGAUGCGCAGCGAAGAGCAGCACAGGAGGGGAGCAGUGCCGUAAGAAGAUGCCGAGCGACAAGCUGUGUGUCAAAGGCCACCGGAAGAGGCGAGAGGAGCGCCGGACGAAGGCGGGCCGGCGUCCGACGUCAGCGGAUCGGUGUGUCGGCAACUCUGCCUAGUUCAUGCUUUUCCAGUUGUAUUUUCUAAGCGCAAAUCAAUGUGCGAACAGGAUAUCCGCACCAGAGCGAACUUAAGCGAGGUGGCGGUCAGGCCUCGGCACGGCAGACCGAAGAAUCCGACUCCGAGCGGCCGAGGAAAAGGGACGGGCGAGAGGAAGGCGUUUCCAAGGAGGGCUUCGUCGCAGCGGAGGUCGACGCCGGGCGGCACAUCGGUGACCGGCGAUGCUCUGCCUCGCGAGGGAUGAAGAGGAACCCGGCGGAUGGGGGAGCGUCCCGGUUAGGUGACCUGUUCCCCAUGAGGAGGGAAUCAGGAUCCUGCCCUCUGAAAGGUAGUGGAGGGGCAUGAGGCAAUUGAAGGAAUGCUGCCUGUAAGUGACAAGGAUGCUACUGAGAACGGUCAUCAAGGAUGGACUGUGAGCCCUGCCACCAUGAAAGUUAAGUAGCAGGGCGAUAAGUCGUGCGUCACGCAGACCGCGAGCGUCCAAAUAUCGGCGUAGCGGCGGGGCGGUUCGUGGGGAGUCAGCCUGGCGCAGAUAGCGGAAACGAUCCUUGUCGAACCGGGCGUGCCGGCGAAGCGGCUCCGGGAUGCGCGGGUACAGAUUCGCAGAACGUCUGGCGCGCGUUCGUGCGUGUCCGUUGUCUAGCGCGUCGAUGUUCGUCUCGGCCUUUGUGCCAGAGGAGCUACAGGCACACUUGUGUCCUACCACCAUUGCGGUAGCCAUUCCUCUUCUUUCCGUAGGCUCGAGGCGUCAGCGCGGCGGUCGAGCGCGUACCGUUGCGUGGCGUGAUGUCGCAGCCUAACGCCACCGGUCCGAUUUAGCGUCCUCGUCGCGUUCUGCCAAUCUCUUUCGUGACUAUCGCUCGGGCUUUGGAUUCAGGUCUUGUCUCUCAUGGUCGAGAGUUUUUCCAGGGGUUUCUUCCCUGUCCUUUUGGUUUCUGUUCCUUGCCAGCAUUUUGUCUCGGUCAUUGUGACUUCUCAGCCUGUGUUCCAUUCAGAGCCGUGGAGUUUUGGCAUAGCUGGGCACACGCCAGAGCGCCGGAGCUGUCCGGCCUCGGCAUCGUCAUGCUUUUUGUCAGGCUGUGUCUUCCGAUCAGGCAUCAACUUUACCUUGGGGAGUGGCGUUACGUUCUUAGAUUAUCUUUGGAGAGGGAGGGAGAGGGAGAGCGUGUGUGUUUGGCGGAGCUGCUCUGUCAGCCCGUGUAGCUGUUGCGGUUGGGAUGGAGCGGCCCCAGCCCCGGAUGGUAAUCUGUCAGCACAGUCUGUUUGGGUGGACGUUGUACGGGCAGUUUUGUGGGGCAGAGGGUAGUUGUCGGCCAGCCGGCCCUAGAGUCCUUCCGUCGUGUUUUUCAGGUGCCACGGCACGAUUCGGAUUUCCGCACGACACCCUCGAGUGAGGUUGUUGUGAAGUAUCCAAGUAACAGCGAAGGAGGGGUGCGGUUAGCAAGGCAUCUUCCUUGGCUUCUGCCCGCGAGUGCUAACUCUGUAGAGUCAGGUGGAGCGGUGAUGCUGUUUUAAGGGACAGGGUGAGGCCGUUCAACAGACGGCCCGAGAAUUGGGGCGGUGGCCCGUUGUGGCGGGCGGGCGGAGGAACGGAUGUGUGUUUGGGUGAGGGGCGGAGCGUGAGGGUGAGGCGGUGGCGGUGCCUAAUUUUGUGCGCGCUGUGUAUUUUUUCCAGGUUGAGCAAGCUAGUUUGCUUUUUGAAAUUAGAAUAAAAAACCCCCAGCUGGGGGAUUAUUUUUUUUUUCCCCCAGCUGGGUUUUUUUUCCCCCGGUCCCGGCCGCUCCGCGAGGCGACGUUCGUCGCCAAAGUUUGGGCGGCGGUGCGGUUCGGGCCGGGGUUUUUGCCAGGCAGGGCGAGAGAUGAAAUUUUGAUGGCGUCUCCCGGGAACGGCGUUCCCGAGGAGCGCCGGAGGGAGCGGGCGAUGUCCGGUUGCGGUGGAAUGGACG